rnacentral:rRNA from 1 species
CCUACGGGAGGCAGCAGUGAGGAAUAUUGGUCAAUGGGCGAGAGCCUGAACCAGCCAAGUCGCGUGAGGGAAGACGGUACUAAGUAUUGUAAACCUCUUUUGUCAGGGAACAAAGAGACCACGUGUGGUAAGAUGAGUGUACCUGAAGAAAAAGCAUCGGCUAACUCCGUGCCAGCAGCCGCGGUAAU